CUCCUGUUGCUCAUACUGCCGCAGCCUCCAGAUGUUUAUUCCUUAAUACUUGUUUCUGUUUCACUUGUCUACCAACACAUAAGUAUUACUACCAGUAGUUAGUAGUACUGCUUUAAUAUUUCAUUGCAGGCCUUUUAACUGUGAAAGGCUUGAGUCAUAUUGCACACAUUACCCUUCUGUUACUCUUUUCAAAGUAAGAGUCCAUGUAGUCGAUAUUUGAAGGCCUGUAAUUGUUCUGUCUCUGUUAACAUAUCAAGUAUUACUGGCAAGAAGCGAAGGGCAACGAUCAGCCUCCGGUUAUUUUUUAAACUGACUGAGCUUUUGGGUAAGAAUAAUCCAAAGUUCAUGAGCCUGGGGUAUUGACUUGUCAUGAAAUAAAUUGUUUGAUAAGUUAACUGUGGCUCAGACAUUAACUCAGUGACAGGUGAAUGGUUCAUUGAAGACUGUGUAUAUUUUUCACUACAAUGCUAUGGUUAAGCGAGAUCUGAUGAGGACAGAAAGAUUUGACAUUGAGAAAAUGGGAAAUCAGACCCAUGAAUAAAUAUUUCCCCUUGGUAGGGGUGGGGCGGUGAGGUGAUAUAUACAGUACAAUAAAAACGGAAAAAUAUAAUACUUGUCUGGAGGAAAGGAAAGAGAUUUGGUUUUGUCAGAGAUGAGACGAGCUGAAUGAAGCUUGGCUGCAUGUACAUUUGGGGUUGGCACCUUUCCCCUGGGUCCACGCCUUCUGGUCCCUUGUAUCUAAGUGAAGUUCAAAAAGACAGAGACCCCACGAACAGCAAUGGACAGACUGGACCAAGCUUAUUCUUCUGUUGCUUAUGCUGUGGUGCAGAAACAUAUCAGUGCACCGAAAACCAAAAUUAGAUUUUUUGGCAAUAAAGUAUGACCCCAAGCUGA